rnacentral:rRNA from 1 species
CCUACGGGUGGCAGCAGUAGGGAAUUUUCGGCAAUGGGGGGAACCCUGACCGAGCAACGCCGCGUGAACGAAGAAGUUAUUCGGAAUGUAAAGUUCUUUUAACAGGGAAGAAAGAGAAAUUUGACGGUACCUGAAGAAUAAGCUACGGCUAACCACGUGCCAGCAGCCGCGGUAAUACGUAGGGAGCGAGCGUUUUCGGGAAUAAUUGGGCGAAAGGGGUGGGUAGAUGGCGUAGAAGGUCUUUUGUAAAAAUGCUGGGCUCAACCCAGUAGGGCAAAAGAAACUGUAAAGCUAGAGUAUAACAGAGGCAAGUGGAACUACAGGUGUAGCGGUGAAAUGCGUAAAUAUCUGUAAGAACACCGGUGGCGAAGGCGGCUUGCUGGGUCGAUACUGACAUUGAGGCACGAAAGCGUGGGGAGCAAACAGGAUUAGAUACCCUAGUAGUC